AUGAACGCUGGCGGCGUGCUUAACACAUGCAAGUCGAACGAUGAAGCCCAGCUUGCUGGGUGGAUUAGUGGCGAACGGGUGAGUAACACGUGGAUAACCUACCUAUAAGACUGGGAUAACUUCGGGAAACCGGAGCUAAUACCGGAUAACAUGUUGAACCGCAUGGUUCAACAGUGAAAGACGGUCUUGCUGUCACUUAUAGAUGGAUCCGCGCCGCAUUAGCUAGUUGGUAAGGUAACGGCUUACCAAGGCAACGAUGCGUAGCCGACCUGAGAGGGUGAUCGGCCACACUGGAACUGAGACACGGUCCAGACUCCUACGGGAGGCAGCAGUAGGGAAUCUUCCGCAAUGGGCGAAAGCCUGACGGAGCAACGCCGCGUGAGUGAAGAAGGUCUUCGGAUCGUAAAACUCUGUUAUUAGGGAAGAACAAAUGUGUAAGUAACUAUGCACGUCUUGACGGUACCUAAUCAGAAAGCCACGGCUAACUACGU
rnacentral:rRNA from 1 species